rnacentral:tRNA from 1 species
AUAAUAUCAUUAUUAUCUAUAAUUUAAUAUAAAAAUUAAAAAACAUUUAAUUUAUCUAUAUAAAAUA